rnacentral:tRNA from 1 species
GGUUCUUUGGGUGAGUGGUUUAGCCAACGGUCUGCAAAACCGUCAACAGCAGUUCGAUCCUGCUAGGAACCU